rnacentral:tRNA from 1 species
GCACCCCUGGCCAAGCGGCUAAGGCAAGUGGCUGCAACCCACUGAUCCUGGGUUCGAGUCCCAGGGGGUGCU